CUCUCCCUCUCUCUCUCACUUUCUUUUCUAUCUUAUUUUUUUCUCUCUGCAAGUGAUUCCUUCUUUCCUUCUUCUUCCUUCCUAAUUUUUAGGGUUUCAAAUUUUACUCGUGUUUACUGUUCAUUUUCAUUAUUGAGUUUCAGACAGAUUCGAUUUUGUUUUUGAUUUAGUGUUUGUUGUUUCAGGUUUAGUGAUGUUAGCUUACAUGGAAGGGCUAAGAUUCACCGGCGGUGGGGUUUCUGAUGGCUCCAGUGCAACUUGAAACUCGAAAAACUGUACCGGGUAGGAAUUUCUUCGGUGAAAAACUAUUGUGUAGCUGUGGUGAGACCGAAUCGAUACCGAGUUUAGUGAUGUUAGCUUAGAUGGAAGGGCUAAGAUUCACCGGCGGUGGGGUUUCUGAUGGCUCCAGUGCAACUUGAAACUCGAAAAACUGUACCGGGUAGGAAUUUCUUUGGUGAAAAACUAUUGUGUAGUUGUGGUGAGACCGAAUCGAUACCGAGUUUAGUGAUGUUAGCUUACAUGGAAGGGCUAAGAUUCACCGGCGGUGGGGUUUCUGAUGGCUCCAGUGCAACUUGAAACUUGAAAAACUGUACCGGGUAGGAAUUUCUUUGGUGAAAAACUAUUGUGUAGCUGUGGUGAGACCGAAUCGAUACCGAGUGAGUAGAUAUUGAUUCUUCAUGUCAGUUCUGUAGUUAGGGUUUUGAUUUAGUAUUUAGGGUUUUUUGUGGUUGAAAGAUCUAAUGAGUAUCUCUGUCGUCAUCAUCAUUUUUCUCUACAAAAAGUGCUUAUACUACAAUAAGUGCUUAUGCUAUAUAAGUUGAUAAUUGGGAUUAGUUGAUAAUUGGGUUAGUUGAUAAUUGGGAUGAGAGAUGGAUUUUGUUGGAACCAUGAGUAAAAAAUAGUGUAGUGAAUCAUCCUCUUAAAGAUUAGUUCUAAGUUUUUGCAGAUACUCUCAAUGUGUGUUAUUUCUCUGUUGUUUUACAGGUGAUUGAAUUGUUUGAGUUAGUUUGUUUUUGGUUGGGUUGUUGAUUGAUUGGUUGCCUGUGUUGAAUUUUUUCAGGGGAUUGGUGAGUUGUGAUUGGUUGCUGCUUUUGCUGAUAACGUUGUUCAGGAUGGCUCGA